GAUGCAGGAGAUGAUGUAUUCUACUGUGAAUAUGAGUAUGAUAUUCACUGGCAUAACUUCAAGCGUAUAACAGAUAUU